rnacentral:piRNA from 1 species
UGGGCAUCUUGUGAUGAGGAAGGGGUCAUU